CCCCUGUGCCGUGCCCCCACGCCCCACCCUGUUCCCAGUCCCGCACCCCACGCCCAGUGGGUGAGGUCGCAUCCUCGGAGGAAGGUGGCUCCUUUCGUCCCUGCACGUGGCAGGCACGUUCCCCGCAUGAUGGAUUCCGGCAGAAGCCACAACCGGCGCCACCGGCCUUCCUGAGAGUGGAAGCCACAGGAAAAACACUCUUAGGUUAUGAAGAAUUCCCUGCAGUAACCUUGAGACUUAAUGGCAGCAUGGUCCCAUCGUUUCCACCUUCUCAUGCUGGCUGCACUCAUGUGGGCUCU
rnacentral:lncRNA from 13 species